GAAACGCGAAAGGUAAUGCGAAUUGCAGAAUCAGUGAGUCAUCGAAUCUUUGAACGCACAUUGCGCCUCUCGGUAUUCCGGGAGGCACGCCUGUUCGAGCGCCAUUACACACCCCAAGCGAGGCUUGAUGUUGGACGAGGCGGGAGACCGCCCGUCUGGAACGCGUGGGCGCCGGCCGCCGGACCGCGAGCGUAGCAAGACGCAAGUCAAGUCGCUGUGCGGGAUUCCUGCGGUGGGCCGUCGAUGUUCGUGUCUCGUCGACAUGAAUAACACAUAUCCAAAAGUUUGGCCUCGGAUCAGGCGGGGAUACCCGCUGAACUUAA
rnacentral:misc_RNA from 1 species